AGCGAACGCUGGCGGCAGGCCUAACACAUGCAAGUCGAACGAACCUUUCGGGGUUAGUGGCGGACGGGUGAGUAACACGUGGGAACGUGCCUUUAGGUUCGGAAUAACUCAGGGAAACUUGUGCUAAUACCGAAUGUGCCCUUCGGGGGAAAGAUUAAUCGCCUUUAGAGCGGCCCGCGUCUGAUUAGCUAGUUGGUUGAGGUAAUGGCUCACCAAGGCGACGAUCAGUAGCUGGUCUGAGAGGAUGAUCAGCCACAUUGGGACUGAGACACGGCCCAAACUCCUACGGGAGGCAGCAGUGGGGAAUCUUGCGCAAUGGGCGAAAGCCUCACGCAGCCAUGCCGCGUGAAUGAUGAAGGUCUUAGGAUUGUAAAAUUCUUUCACCGGGGACGAUAAUGACGGUACCCGGAGAAGAAGCCCCGGCUAACUUCGUG
rnacentral:rRNA from 1 species